AGCGAACGCUGGCGGCAGGCCUAACACAUGCAAGUCGAACGGAUCCUUCGGGAUUAGUGGCGGACGGGUGAGUAACACGUGGAAACGUGCCCUUUGGUUCGGAACAACUCAGGGAAACUUGAGCUAAUACCGGAUGUGCCCUUCGGGGGAAAGAUUUAUCGCCAUUGGAGCGGCCCGCGUCUGAUUAGCUAGUUGGUGAGGUAACGGCCCACCAAGGCGACGAUCAGUAGCUGGUCUGAGAGGAUGAUCAGCCACACUGGGACUGAGACACGGCCCAGACUCCUACGGGAGGCAGCAGUGGGGAAUCUUGCGCAAUGGGCGAAAGCCUGACGCAGCCAUGCCGCGUGAAUGAUGAAGGUCUUAGGAUUGUAAAAUUCUUUCAGCGGGGACGAUAAUGACGGUACCCGCAGAAGAAGCGCCGGCUAACUUCGUG
rnacentral:rRNA from 1 species